GAUGAACGCUGGCGGCGUGCCUAAUACAUGCAAGUCGAGCGAACGGACGAGAAGCUUGCUUCUCUGAUGUUAGCGGCGGACGGGUGAGUAACACGUGGAUAACCUACCUAUAAGACUGGGAUAACUUCGGGAAACCGGAGCUAAUACCGGAUAAUAUUUUGAACCGCAUGGUUCAAAAGUGAAAGACGGUCUUGCUGUCACUUAUAGAUGGAUCCGCGCUGCAUUAGCUAGUUGGUAAGGUAACGGCUUACCAAGGCAACGAUGCAUAGCCGACCUGAGAGGGUGAUCGGCCACACUGGAACUGAGACACGGUCCAGACUCCUACGGGAGGCAGCAGUAGGGAAUCUUCCGCAAUGGGCGAAAGCCUGACGGAGCAACGCCGCGUGAGUGAUGAAGGUCUUCGGAUCGUAAAACUCUGUUAUUAGGGAAGAACAUAUGUGUAAGUAACUGUGCACAUCUUGACGGUACCUAAUCAGAAAGCCACGGCUAACUACGUGCCAGCAGCCGCGGUAAUACGUAGGUGGCAAGCGUUAUCCGGAAUUAUUGGGCGUAAAGCGCGCGUAGGCGGUUUUUUAAGUCUGAUGUGAAAGCCCACGGCUCAACCGUGGAGGGUCAUUGGAAACUGGAAAACUUGAGUGCAGAAGAGGAAAGUGGAAUUCCAUGUGUAGCGGUGAAAUGCGCAGAGAUAUGGAGGAACACCAGUGGCGAAGGCGACUUUCUGGUCUGUAACUGACGCUGAUGUGCGAAAGCGUGGGGAUCAAACAGGAUUAGAUACCCUGGUAGUCCACGCCGUAAACGAUGAGUGCUAAGUGUUAGGGGGUUUCCGCCCCUUAGUGCUGCAGUUAACGCAUUAAGCACUCCGCCUGGGGAGUACGACCGCAAGGUUGAAACUCAAAGGAAUUGACGGGGACCCGCACAAGCGGUGGAGCAUGUGGUUUAAUUCGAAGCAACGCGAAGAACCUUACCAAAUCUUGACAUCCUUUGACAACUCUAGAGAUAGAGCCUUCCCCUUCGAGGGACAAAGUGACAGGUGGUGCAUGGUUGUCGUCAGCUCGUGUCGUAAGAUGUUGGGUUAAGUCCCGCAACGAGCGCAACCCUUAAGCUUAGUUGCCAUCAUUAAGUUGGGCACUCUAAGUUGACUGCCGGUGACAAACCGGAGGAAGGUGGGGAUGACGUCAAAUCAUCAUGCCCCUUAUGAUUUGGGCUACACACGUGCUACAAUGGACAAUACAAAGGGCAGCGAAACCGCGAGGUCAAGCAAAUCCCAUAAAGUUGUUCUCAGUUCGGAUUGUAGUCUGCAACUCGACUACAUGAAGCUGGAAUCGCUAGUAAUCGUAGAUCAGCAUGCUACGGUGAAUACGUUCCCGGGUCU
rnacentral:rRNA from 1 species